rnacentral:pre_miRNA from 2 species
GGUGUGUGUGUUGCAGCUGGUGUUGUGAAUCAGGCCGAUGACACACACCUCCUAAAAGCCGGCUAUUUCACAACACCAGGGUGGCACCGCAUCACU